GCUUACUUGCACUCUUGAACAAACCCAAAUCUUUUUCAUUUGAUAUAUUUCUUGAAAACCCAACUAUACUGUUUGCUUUACUCAACAUGUCUUAUCAUUACACCUUCCUCUUUCCCAUGUCUUUCUUAUUGUAGUCUGUCACUUCUCUAUUAUCUUCUUCUUCCACUUUCCUCCCUCCUCAUUUCUCAGCAAACUUCAUCUUCCACCUUCCUCCCUCCUCCUUCCUCUAAUAUAUCUUCACCUUUCUUCUUCUUCUCCUUGAUUACCACUACGACUUCUUCUUUUUUCUUAACUACAUCCAUUAAAGUUUUGAUUUUUAUGUUAAAAACCCAAAAAUUUCGUUAAAGUUUUUUUCUAAUUUCUUCUAAUUUAGUGUUUGUUGUUUCAGGUUUGGAUUUGUUGUUUCAUCUACCCUUGCUUCAUCUUUCUAUACUUGCUUCAUCAUUCAAGAUGAUAAAGACAUCAAUGGCAGUAUAUGUUUUUUUCCUCUUCCUCUUAAUGUAUCAGUUUUGUUUAACUAUAAUAUUGUUGUUCAAUGUUUUUUCAGCCAUUUCAUUUUUUAUUUAUUCAACAUCACUAAUAUCAUUUUUAUAGUUUUCGUUUCAGAUAAGUUCUUCUUCUUCAGAUCUGGAAUUUUUUUGUUGAUACUGAGUGAUGAUGAAGAGAUGUUGCUCUCUUUUCUAAUUCGUAUAAAUUUAAAUCUGGGUUUUUGUUUUAUUUGUAGCUUUCCUCUCAUGCCUAUUUUCGUGUAAACAUGUAAUGGUGUCUUUGUCUUGUGUUUUCCCGGUAAUGAAGCUGAUGAAAACCUUAAAUAUUUUUCAUUUUUUGAUAAUGAUGUUAUUGUUGUUCUGUGUUGUAGAUCUGUUACGGUUAUGUUGCUGUUAUGUAUUCCCAAAUUUUCCUAAAAUAAAAUGUUGUUGGUUGUUGAAAGCAAUCCAGGUGAUUUUGUAGGCACUGCAGUAUCUGGUACACCUUUUGGCAAGGCUUGUGCUGCUGUUGGACAAAGCAGUCUUAUGUCUACUUAUGAUGAUUUGUUUAGUCAGAAAUUGUGGCUUGCUGGUUUUUCAAGGGGCAUACAGGAAGUGCACCGAAGAGCAUCUUUAGUUCUUAGAGAUGCAGUUAGAAAUAUUUACAGUAUAUAAUGUUUGUUAGAAAUAUUUGUGGAAAUGCUUAUGCCAAGAAACAUCGUACCUCCAUCUUCCCGCUCAGCGUUAAACUAUGUCGCUCUCCGCUUCGACAACUUUAAUUUGGAUGCUAAUGUAAGAUUGUGCUUUAUUUUGUUUUUACUAUAGACCAUUUUGUGUUUCUAUAGAAA